rnacentral:rRNA from 1 species
GAUGAACGCUGGCGGCGUGCCUAAUACAUGCCAGUCGAGCGAACAGACGAGGAGCUUGCUCCUCUGACGUUAGCGGCGGACGGGUGAGUAACACGUGGAUAACCUACCUAUAAGACUGGGAUAACUUCGGGAAACCGGAGCUAAUACCGGAUAAUAUAUUGAACCGCAUGGUUCAAUAGUGAAAGACGGUUUUGCUGUCACUUAUAGAUGGAUCCGCGCCGCAUUAGCUAGUUGGUAAGGUAACGGCUUACCAAGGCGACGAUGCGUAGCCGACCUGAGAGGGUGAUCGGCCACACUGGAACUGAGACACGGUCCAGACUCCUACGGGAGGCAGCAGUAGGGAAUCUUCCGCAAUGGGCGAAAGCCUGACGAAGCAACGCCGCGUGAGUGAUGAAGGUCUUCGGAUCGUAAAACUCUGUUAUUAGGGAAGAACAAAUGUGUAAGUAACUAUGCACGUCUUGACGGUACCUAAUCAGAAAGCCACGGCUAACUACGUG